UACGUAGGUGGCAAGCGUUAUCCGGAAUUAUUGGGCGUAAAGCGCGCGUAGGCGGUUUUUUAAGUCUGAUGUGAAAGCCCACGGCUCAACCGUGGAGGGUCAUUGGAAACUGGAAAACUUGAGUGCAGAAGAGGAAAGUGGAAUUCCAUGUGUAGCGGUGAAAAUGCGCAGAGAUAUGGAGGAACACCAGUGGCGAAAGGCGACUUUCUGGUCUGUAACUGACGUGAUGUGCGAAAAGCGUGGGGGAUCAAACAGGAUUAGAUACCCGCGUAAGUCC
rnacentral:rRNA from 1 species